UACAGGGAGGUGCAGCGUUGUGAAUUAUUGGGCGUAAAGGCGCGUGUAGGCGGCUUUGCAAGUCGGGUGUGAAAGCCCUCAGCUCAACUGAGGAAGUGCGCCCGAAACUGCAGAGCUUGAGUGCCGGAGAGGGUGGCGGAAUUCCCCAAGUAGAGGUGAAAUUCGUAGAUAUGGGGAGGAACACCGGUGGCGAAGGCGGCCACCUGGACGGUAACUGACGCUGAGACGCGAAAGCGUGGGGAGCAAACAGG
rnacentral:rRNA from 1 species